rnacentral:rRNA from 1 species
AUGGAGGUCGACGUGGCAGCAACUAGACUCGGAGUCGGAGGUGAUGUGUCUUCUCCUUCAUCGCUGAGCCUGCUCUGCGGUCUCGCUGCGCUGCUCGUCCUCCUGUGGGCGGUCUCCCGGGCCGCCGAGACAUGCUGGCUGAGGCCACGGCGGCUCAGCCGGGCGCUCAGGGCGCAGGGCCUGGGCGGCGCGGCGUACCGCUUUCCCGCCGGGGACCUCGCGGACAACGGCCGGCUCAACGAGGAGGCUCGGUCCAAGCCCAUGCCGCUGUGCCACGACAUUGUACCCCGUGUGGCGCCACACCUCGUCAACAUCGUCAAGGAACACGGCAACGUUUGCAUCACCUGGUUUGGACCAGUCCUAAGGAUGGUCAUAGCAGAGCCAAAGCUAGUGAGAGAGAUCCUAUCUGACAAGUCCGGCCAUUUCGAAAAAUUCACCAACAAACGUCUGGGAAAACUGAUAGCCCUUGGGCUUGCGAGCUACGACGGUGAGAAAUGGGCGAUGCACAGAAGAAUCUUAAACCCCGCUUUCCAUCUCGAAAAGCUCAAGAGCAUGUUGCCGGCUUUCUCGACAUGCUGCACCGAGUUGAUAAGCAGCUGGGAAAGUAAAUUAGCCGGUUCUGAUGGAUCACAUGAAAUAGACAUAUGGGAGGAUUUCCAGAACCUAACCGGAGACGUGAUCUCUCGCACGUCGUUCGGUAGCAGCUUCAUGGAAGGGCGAAGGAUCUUCCAGCUUCAGGCAGAGCAAGCAGAGCGAAUUAUCAAGGCCUUCCAGUAUAUGUACAUCCCAGGCUACCUCUUCUUUCCGACUGAAAACAACAAGAGGAUGAAGCAGAUCAACCGAGAGAUUGAAGGGCUCCUGAGAGGCAUCAUCGAGAAGCGGGAGCGCGCAAUGGAGAACGACGGGCUUGGCGGCGACGACUUGCUUGGCCUGAUGCUGCAGUCGAACAAGGAGAGGGGGACGUCAAGGAUGAGGAUGAGCACCGAGGAUGUGAUCGAGGAGUGCAAGCUCUUCUACUUCGCGGGGAUGGAGACCACGUCCGUGCUGCUCACCUGGACGCUGGUCGUCCUGGGCAUGCACCCCGAGUGGCAGGAUCGGGCCAGGGAAGAAGUCCUCAGCGUCUUCGGCAAGGACAAGCCCAACUUCGACGGCCUCAGUCGACUCAAAACGGUGACGAUGAUACUGUAUGAGGUGCUCAGGCUGUACCCACCGGCGGUUACGCUGAACCGGAAGACAUCCAGAGAGAUGCAGAUUGGAGGUAUCACCUACCCUGCGGGCGUGCUGCUGGAGCUGCCGAUAAUCAUGGUUCACCACAACCCGGAUGUAUGGGGGAAAGACGUGCUGGAGUUCAAGCCGGAGAGGUUUGCGGAGGGGAUCUCCAAGGCAACCAAGGACCAGCCGGUCUUCUUCCCGUUCGGCUGGGGCCCGAGGAUUUGCAUCGGCCAGAACUUCGCGAUGCUGGAAGCCAAGAUGGCGCUCAGCAUGAUCCUUCAGCGUUUCGAGUUCCAGCUCUCACCUUCCUACACGCAUGCGCCGUACACAGUCAUCACACUGCAUCCUCAGCAUGGAGCGCAGAUUAUACUCAAGAGUCUCUGA